rnacentral:piRNA from 1 species
UGCCUAUCUUUCUGCCAUUCUUAGCAU